rnacentral:tRNA from 1 species
GCCUUCGUGGUGUAGUGAUCAGCACGCUCGACGCGUAACCGAGAGGUCCGUGGUUAGAUUCCCGGUGAAGACG